ACAAGACCGUUUGCUUUCAAAUAGUAUGUAUAAUAUGCGCGUGAUCAAAAGUUAUCCACUGCCUAUAUUCGGUCAAUCGAUUGGUGGUUGAAAAAAGGUCGGUGACUUGUAGACGUGUACCUAUAUAUAUAUAACUAGUAAGUGUAAUCACAGGUCUUUAGUCGUUACACGAAAUGGCUCGGCCGACAACAACGAUAAUAAUGUGUAUAGACUAUUACGAUACAACGUUAAAUUUUGAUAAUUUAUUAUAAGUAAACCGGAAAUGCACGUAUAUAACCGGCCAUUUAAUUCAAUUAGUUUCAUUUGUUUUCGCGUAUAAUAAAUACAUUUUACAUAUUCUAAACAUGCCACCUUCUUCGCCCUCACAGUACACUUACGUAUAGAAAUGUGUCAUCAACUCAGUCCGGAAUGGUGGAAAUAUCGAUUCGGUCAUGUUUUGAAGAGGAAAACCCGAGAGUCCAGUAAUGCAGGGAGACUCUUUUAGCACUUAGACUCAGACAAAACUAUAAAUUAGAGACGACACUACCACAAUGGAAUAUAAAAAAAGUAUGACUUUAUCGUAAACAAACCACCGACAAUUUGUAAUAUAAUUUAGCACCCCUAAAAUAUUCUAUGUGUAUAAGUCACUGGUUUUCAAAGUGUCGCUAGUUUUUAGCUUGACUAAGGCCCAAUUUAAAGAAAUAUUGGCCCAAUGUACGCUUUUUUUGUGGUCUUUAUUAAAUUGAAAAAAAAACAUAUCUUCAAACUUAGUUAU